rnacentral:lncRNA from 1 species
ACAUGCGCAAUACUCGCGCUGCCUCCGUGGUCCCUGCCUGGCUGAGGUGGCAGCAGGGGGCGGGACGCGCAGCGCUAUGGCAGAGGGCAGCGGGGAAGUGGUCGCAGUGUCUGCGACCGGGGCUGCCAACGGCCUCAACAAUGGGGCAGGCGGGACCUCGGCGACGACCUGCAACCCGCUGUCGCGCAAGCUGCAUAAGAUCCUGGAGACGCGGCUGGACAACGACAAGGUGCCUUCAAGGCUCUCUGGAUGGGAUUGGUGAACGGUGGUGCCUCGAGAAGUGUCCUCCAAACACCCCUGGAGGCGUUUGGCUGUGUGAGCUGGGAGAGUGGAGGAGAGCACAAGACUGGAUAUGAAACAGAUGCAAAAGAGCAGAUUCCAAGAUAAGGAGAUGUUAGAAGCUCUCAAGGCACUUUCAACCUUUUUUGUUGAAAAUAGUCUGCGGACUCGAAGAAAUUUACGUGGAGAUAUUGAACGUAAAAGUUUAGCCAUCAAUGAAGAAUUUGUAAGCAUUUUCAAGGAAGUGAA